AGGUCCAACAGCUACUCGCGGACAGCGCGCCUCGUUUUCCGCGCGGCAGCCGAGAGAGGACGGUUCGGAAAUAACUGCUAGCUAUGCGGGUGGGCGGGAAGAACUGCUACCUAUGCGGAUGGGAAAGCGGCUGAGCCUUCCAGUCGGUAGCUGGGCUCUUGGAGGGAGAUGGGUGUUUCCGGAUGUACAUCAGUCAACUGCGGGGAGACUGGAAAACAUGCUGGCAAUUCAAAAACGUUUAAAAAUGGUAAGGCAUCUGUGAGACGUGGUAUAUUCCUGGGUUUUUUUUUUUUUCUUCCCGAUUUGAAAUACAUUGUUUCAUUUGAAGUAAUUUUAAGAGUUAGCUGUCAACAGGAUGAAUGUAAUGGUUCUAUAAUCCGUGGAUUCCUUAAUUUUAAGCCCUAUGUGGUUUGAAUUGUUGCUAAGUGCUGGGAUUUCUAGAAAUUUACAAGCUAAGUGUUUGUUUGAUAAAAAUACAGGUAGUGCAUGAAAGUCUGAAACAUAAAUACAAAAGAACUCAACGACCCAUUUAAAAGCGGUAAUAUUGCCAAUGCUGUGUUACCUCCCACCCCCAUUCCCCUGCCCCCCAUCUAGUAGUACCUAUCUCUAGUUUUGUGUCCAUCGGUUUCUUGAUCCUGUGGCUGGGAGGUGAGAUGGAUAGUUUAUUAUUCAUAUGUAUCUUUAAACAUAGGCAUUAUAAGAAUGAGUAUGCAUGUAGUUGUCUGUAGUUCCUGUGAAUCAUAAUACUAAACUGAAAUUUUCCAAAUUAGAAUUAUUCACAAGCAGUAAUUUUAUUCCUCAUACUCAAGUGAAAUAUUUCAGCAUUUCAAGACAUGAAAAUAAUGAUAGUUUAGCAGGGUCCAAACUUGUAUGUCUUCAUAAAUCAUAUCAAUAAUUGUCUAGCUCAAUGAUUUAUACUCCUGAGGUGCUGUGUGACAUUUGUGUGGCCCUGGCCAUCUCCUUUGCCCUGUUUGUGUACAUUCAGUUAACUUAAACUUAAUUCUGUAGGAAUGUGUCUGGUAAUGCUGACAGUGUAAGGCAUCCCUUCUCCAAAACUACUAGAUUUGCCAUUGUACUGUUUUCAGGUGAAAAUCUUCACCCUAGUUUCUGUACAUCUAGCAUUUAACCUGACUUAGUGCAUUCUAGUCAAGCUCUAGGACAGAAAAGCAAUGGUUGUCUACUCAUUAGGACCAUUGUGUCUUAAAAUCAAUACUGUGAUGAUGAAGGAUAUAAAAUGUUUCCAUCAUUUAUGUAAUUUUUAGGUACUAACCAAUCAAAAGAUUUAAAACACUCAAGUCAUUAACAGAUGUUUUUAAAUUUCGCGUUUGUCAGUUAAUACUAUCAGAAGUAAUGAAACAGGAAUUGUGUUCUUUUAUUCCAUUAGAAAUGUAUUGAACAAGAGAUACUGGUACUUUUAUUAAAAAGUGGGUUGGAGUCCCAAAAGGUAGGUUGGGUUCCUUAGAGGAAUGACAUUUUGUUGUUGUUGAGACAGGGUCCCACCCUAUGCCCCUGAGCAGAGUGCAGUGGGCGUGGUAGCUCACCACAGCCUCAGACUCAGGCUGCAGGCACCCCUCUGCCUCAGCCUCCGGAUGCCGCUGGGAAUACAUGUGCUCAAGGCAGCACCCGGCUGGGUUUUUCCAUUUUUUUCAUGAAUCGGGGUCUCACUGUCGCUCAGGCAAGUCUCUAACUCCUGAGCUCAAGCAAUUGAUUCUCCCUCCUCAGCCUCCCACAGUGCUGGGAUUACAGGCAUGAGCCACUGCGCCCGGCAGGAAUGAAAUUUUUAUUAGACUAUUCCUUCAUAUAACAUGCCAAACAAAUGCAAUUACAAAUGGGAAUUGACAGUGAAAAUUUAAUUUUUAGGUCUGACAAAUCCUAUGAAUUUUGAAGGUGUGUGAAGGUCAUUGUGACAGAUGUUUUCCAAAAGCUUAACAGAAAAUGGCAAUGAAAAAGUAGAACCGCCACUGCAUAUAUUGAGGUACAAAAAGUGUUAAAUGACAUCUUUUUGGGAAUCGUGGUGCUAUUGUUACUAACAAGCAAUACACAAAAUGUUUGAUGUGUUAUUGACGUUGAUAAUGGUGGCAUAAUGAUGACUUAAAUUUUUGCCGUUUACCCAGCUGAGGAUAUCUUUGAAGAAAUAAUUCUUAGACUGAGAUGCCAGUAAACUAUAUUGGUUUAUGUUAAUGGUAUGUAGUACAAUUUUUUACUAAGAGGCUAAAUGUUCUUUCUCCUUAGCACAUAGGUAGCUGCAGAUGGAUGUCCUUUAGCUGCAGUUUUUUGAAAUACUCCUUUGUUGCCUCAGAGGUGUGCCAUGCAACAUUAUGGAAGAAAGAACGAAGACUGCAAGAAAACAGAUGAACAGAACAAAUGAUGAAAAUGAAUAUUUUACUUGGUUUUACUAACUUCAUUAUAAAUGAUAUAGAAAAUAAAUGUGAGUAAUUAUUUUAAUUGCUGGGCACUAAAGUCUCUUUUCUUUUAAAAUAGCUGUAUUCUUUUUUUUUUUGAGACAGAGCCUCAAGCUGUCACCCUGGAUAGAGUGCCAUGGCAUCACACAGCUCACAGCAACCUCCAACUCUUGGGCUCAAGAGAGGCUCCUGCCUCCCCCUCCCAAGGAGCUGGGACUACAGGCGCCCGCCACAACGCCCGGAUAUUUUUUGGUUGCAGCUGUCGUUGUUUGGCGGGCCAGGGCUGGA